rnacentral:rRNA from 1 species
GAGGGGUACAUAGAAAAGCUUGCUUUUCUGAUGACGACCGGCGCACGGGUGAGUAACGCGUAUACAACCUACCUUUUAGCGGGGAAUAGCCCAGGGAAACUUGGAUUAAUGUCCCAUAGUAUGGAGGUCUCUCCUGAGAUCAUCAUUAAACAUUUAUGGCUAUUAGAUGGGUAUGCGUCCUAUUAGUUAGUUGGUAAGGUAACGGCUUACCAAGGCAGCGAUAGGUAGGGGUCCUGAGAGGGAGAUCCCCCACACUGGUACUGAGACACGGACCAGACUCCUACGGGAGGCAGCAGUGAGGAAUAUUGGACAAUGGGCGAAAGCCUGAUCCAGCCAUGCCGCGUGUGUGAAGAAGGUCUUCGGAUUGUAAAGCACUUUAAGUUGGGAGGAAGGGUUGUAGAUUAAUACUCUGCAAUUUUGACGUUACCGACAGAAUAAGCACCGGCUGACUCUGUGCCAGCAGCCGCGGUAAU